rnacentral:misc_RNA from 1 species
UUCCUGUUUCAUCGUAUAAACAAUCAAUGAAUCAUUUGUUGGCGCUUUGGUUGUUCUUUUUGAGGAAUUUUGACGGUUGUCGAUGUUAAAAUUAAUAAUACACUCGUUUUUAUGAAAUUAAAUAUGAUUCUGGUAUUCUGUACUUGUUUUGUGUAUUAAAUAUUUUUAAUACUUAUACGUUAUAAUAUUUGUUCCAUACUAUGGGUUCCUAUAAGAUUCGCCGGUUGCGAAUUCCACAGAAUAUUAUUGAUGUUCUUGAAAAAAAUAAUUUAUUUUCUUGCAAGGAUGUUUUAACUCUUACCAAGUUAGAAUUUCAGACUAUACUUGGCAUAAACCGAUCUAAAGCAGAAGAAAUAUUGAAUGAAGUUGCAGCAAAGUGUGUCUCUCAACCAAAUACUGCUUAUGACAUGUAUCUGAAGCAAAAGUCUUUGUCCUCCACUGGAUUUCUGCCUUUAUCUCUCCAUUCUUUAGACUUAUUACUACAAGGUGGCUUACCAUUUGGAUGUAUCACUGAAUUUGCAGGCCCACCUGGUGUUGGAAAAACUCAGUUCUGUUUCAUGUUGAGUAUUUUAUCUGUGCUGCCUUCAUCUGCUGGAGGAUUAAGCUCAAAAGUGAUAUAUAUAGAUACAGAAUCAGCCUUUAGUGCUGACAGGAUUAAAACUAUGGCUCAAAAAAAGUUCCCUCAUUUGUAUAAAGAUGACCAAAAUUUAGCCAAUCUUUUACAAAGCAUUAUGGUGUAUAAAGCAUCUUGUAUUGAUGCCUUAAGAGAAAUCAUUCCAAAUCUAGAAAGAGAAAUUAUACGAAAUAAAGUCAGAGUUGUAAUAAUAGAUUCUAUUGCCUCAUUAGUGAGAAAAGAAUUUGGCGGUGAACAGUUAGGAAGUUUAAUUCAACGAAAUAAUAUACUUAUGGAGCAAGCUGCUUUGUUAAAAAAUUUAGCUCAAGCUUAUGAUAUUGUGAUAUUUUUAACUAAUCAAAUCACCUCCCAUAUUGCAGAACUGGAAUCAGUUGCUAUGGACAUAGCAGAAGAAGAUGAGAAUAUUUCAAGUGCCUAUGCUGGUUUGUCCUAUCUGCUGUAAAUUUUUCAGCCGGAAGUACAAUUAUAUACAACACAGUAAAAUUCAUGAUGAAAUUAAGGAGUUUAGUUGUCCUCAAUGUAACAAGUCCUUCUCGCGGAAAUAUAACAUGAACCAGCAUGUGAAUAAUAAAGUUUGCACAACUAAGAAUGUUCACCAAUGUGAUCAAUGUCCUUCGAAAUUUUCUAAUAAAUCCGAACUGCUUGAUCACACAAGGUUGCUUCAUUUAAAGAGGAAGUUGAGUGAGGCAUCAUAAU